rnacentral:rRNA from 1 species
CGUGUAGGCGGUUGGUCAAGUCUGAUGUGAAAGCCCGGGGCUCAGCUCCGGAAGGGCAUCGGAAACUAACCAGCUGGAGCGCGAUAGAGGAGGGCGGAAUUCCUGGUGUAGCGGUGAAAUGCGUAGAUAUCAGGAGGAACACCGGCGGCGAAGGCGGCCCUCUGGAUCGUUGCUGACGCUGAGACGCGAAAGCGUGGGGAGCAAACAGGAUUAGAUACCCUGGUAGUCCACGCUGUAAACUAUGGGUACUAGGUGUUCGGGGUAUUGACCCCCUGAGUGCCGCAGCUAACGCAUUAAGUACCCCGCCUGGGGACUACGGCCGCAAGGUUAAA